rnacentral:rRNA from 1 species
AACGAACGCUGGCGGCAGGCCUAACACAUGCAAGUCGAGCGAAGCCUUCGGGCUUAGCGGCGGACGGGUGAGUAACGCGUGGGAACGUGCCCUUUGGUACGGAAUAGCCCCGGGAAACUGGGAGUAAUACCGUAUGUGGUCGAGAGACGAAAGAUUUAUCGCCAAAGGAUCGGCCCGCGUUGGAUUAGGCAGUUGGUGGGGUAAUGGCCUACCAAGCCGACGAUCCAUAGCUGGUUUGAGAGGAUGAUCAGCCACACUGGGACUGAGACACGGCCCAGACUCCUACGGGAGGCAGCAGUGGGGAAUCUUAGACAAUGGGGGAAACCCUGAUCUAGCCAUGCCGCGUGAUCGAUGAAGGCCUUAGGGUCGUAAAGAUCUUUCAGUGGGGAAGAUAAUGACUGUACCCACAGAAGAAGCCCCGGCUAACUCCGUGCCAGCAGCCGCGGUAAAAC